AGUCCAUGCCGUAAACGUUGGGCACUAGGUGUGGGGAUUGUUCCACGAUUCCUGUACCGUAGCUAACGCAUUAAGUGCCCCGCCUGGGGAGUACGGCCGCAAGGCUAAAACUCAAAGGAAUUGACGGGGGCCCGCACAAGCGGCGGAGCAUGCGGAUUAAUUCGAUGCAACGCGAAGAACCUUACCAAGGCUUGACAUACGCUAGAUCGCUCCAGAGAUGGGGUUUUCCUUUGGACUGGUGUACAGGUGGUGCAUGGUUGUCGUCAGCUCGUGUCGUGAGAUGUUGGGUUAAGUCCCGCAACGAGCGCAACCCUUGUUCUAUGUUGCCAGCACGUAAUGGUGGGGACUCAUGGGAGACUGCCGGGGUCAACUCGGAGGAAGGUGGGGACGACGUCAAAUCAUCAUGCCCCUUAUGUCUUGGGCUUCACGCAUGCUACAAUGGCCGGUACAAUGGGUUGCGAUACUGUGAGGUGGAGCGAAUCCCUAAAAGCCGGUCUCAGUUCGGAUUGGGGUCUGCAACUCGACCCCAUGAAGUCGGAGUCGCUAGUAAUCGCAGAUCAGCAACGCUGCGGUGAAUACGUUCCCGGGCCUUGUACACACCGCCCGUCAAGUCACGAAAGUUGGUAACACCCGAAGCCGGCGGCCU
rnacentral:rRNA from 1 species